GGCGGAGGGCUUGUACCCUCUAUGAGGAAUAAACCAGCAUUCUUGAGUAUAACCGUGGUCCACGUCCCAGCUAGAAUCCUGUACUUAGCAGAAUCCACCAAGGAUGGAGACCUCAGCGGAUAACAAAUACCGAGAUCCAUCGGCUUCUGGCUUCCACUGUAUCCAGCCUCUUCAAAGUCCCUGAACUCUACUGUGGCUCUUGUAACAUCCGUCCAUCCGAACAGACGUAUUUACAGUGUGAUGUGUGAUCUGAGAACUGAUAUUAAUAGUUAAGGUUGGAAUAAAAGAACCUGUUGCUUGUCUUGGCUGAC